UGGUGACGAGAGCGGAGGGGACACACGCGUUCCCAUCCCGAACACGACCGUUAAGCCCUCCAGCGCCGAUGGUACUUAGGGCGCGAGCCCUUGGAAGAGUAGGACGUUGCCA
rnacentral:rRNA from 1 species